CCAUAGAGGGCACAGCUGGCAUGCAAUACGUUUGACAUGAUUUAUCCCAGAAGGAGAAAAUGCAAAUAUGCAGUGUCAGAAAUAUUACAGAAGGCAACAACUAAUCAGGGAACGCAAAUAAAUCCCGCAUCAAGACGAAGCUGCUGGCGUCAUCCCAGACGGAGCUGUGAGAUUCCUGUGUUUAACCAAGGAGGAAAAUGAGAAGUGUGGGGAAAAGUUCUGGAAGGACACCAUGCACAAGGGAAUGCCUGAACCUCAUAAAAUACUAUGUAUGAUCUGAAUUUUCUAGGAUUUGAGCAGCAUUUCCAGUAUGCUCAAUUGCAUGUAGGUAGAAGUGUGGAUCCCUUCCCAAUCCUGAUGCGCUGUUAUCUGUUCAAGAGGAUGUCCAUGACUCAGAAGCAGAGAGAAGUGUCCAAACGAGCUGACAAGUUUUUAAGGAAUUUGGGAAUUGAAUGAAGAGCUAAAAUCCACAAAUGGGAUUCUCACAGAUCCAAGGAAGAAAAAUAAUGCUUACCUUCUCUGUAUCCAAGCUCCCAAAAUGGCUACUCCACCCACGAAGAUACCACUUCUGGUCCUACUAUGAAGAUGCCAGCCCCGUUUCUCUUCGAUAAUUUCACUUCCGGUCUCAACCUUAUGGUGUCACUUACGUCCCUCUGCUGUGACGCCGUGUCUGGUCCAAUCAUUUUCAGCCAGCAUUUUGCCCUAUAAAUACCUGUGAUGUAACCAUUUUUGUUUAUCAAAUGUUUUGAUCCCUUAGAUGAACGUCUAAUCGUUUUGUUUGCGUCUGGACGACAUUAUAUGGGGCUACCACCCCAAACCUU